UUUCAGGGCUUAAAGACCCUAAAGGCAUCAGUUCCCAUCUGAUCUUGGAAGCUACACAGGGUCGACUCUGGUGAGUACUUGGAUGAGAGACCACCAAUGAAUACCAUGUGCUGUAGGCU
rnacentral:rRNA from 11 species